UACGGGGGGAGCAAGCGUUGUUCGGAUUUACUGGGCGUAAAGGGCGCGUAGGCGGUCAGCACAAGUCAGUUGUGAAAUCUCCGGGCUUAACUCGGAAAGGUCAACUGAUACUGUGCGACUAGAGUGCAGAAGGGGCAACUGGAAUUCUCGGUGUAGCGGUGAAAUGCGUAGAUAUCGAGAGGAACACCUGCGGCGAAGGCGGGUUGCUGGGCUGAUACUGACGCUGAGGCACGAAAGCCAGGGGAGCGAACGGG
rnacentral:rRNA from 1 species